rnacentral:lncRNA from 1 species
UUUCUCGAUUUCCCGAUUUCUCAAUUUCUCGAUUUCGCUUUCUCGAUUUCUGGAUUUCCCCGAAAACACGAAAAGGGGAAACGUCCGCAUCCGUCCACCAUACAUAUGUCUCUGUCAUAUAAUAUUCUUAUUUCGUAUGUAUUUGCACGACAUUUCAUGUUGAAUUGAUUAAACAAAUAUUCCAAUCAUUCAGAAUCCUAACC